ACACUCCUACGGGAGGCAGCAGUGAGGAAUAUUGGACAAUGGGUGGUAGCCUGAUCCAGCCAUCCCGCGUGCAGGAAGACGGCCCUAUGGGUUGUAAACUGCUUUUAUCUGGGGAUAAACCUACUUACGUGUAAGUAGCUGAAGGUACCAGAAGAAUAAGCACCGGCUAACUCCGUGCCAGCAGCCGCGGUAAUACGGAGGGUGCAAGCGUUAUCCGGAUUUAUUGGGUUUAAAGGGUCCGUAGGCGGACUGAUAAGUCAGUGGUGAAAUCCGACAGCUUAACUGUCGAACUGCCAUUGAUACUGUUAGUCUUGAGUAAGGUUGAAGUGGCUGGAAUAAGUAGUGUAGCGGUGAAAUGCAUAGAUAUUACUUAGAACACCAAUUGCGAAGGCAGGUCACUAAGUCUUAACUGACGCUGAUGGACGAAAGCGUGGGGAGCGAACAGGAUUAGAAACCCGUGUAGUCCCAUG
rnacentral:rRNA from 1 species